CGCUGGCGGCACGCUUAACACAUGCAAGUCGAACGGAGUUGUUGGAGCUUGCUCUGAACAACUUAGUGGCGGACGGGUGAGUAACACGUGAGCAACCUGCCUUUGAGAGUGGAAUAGCUUCUGGAAACGGAUGGUAAUACCGCAUAACAUUAACGGACCGCAUGAUCUGUUAAUCAAAGAUUUAUCGCUCAAAGAUGGGCUCGCGGCUGAUUAGAUAGUUGGUGGGGUAACGGCCUACCAAGUCGACGAUCAGUAGCCGGACUGAGAGGUUGAACGGCCACAUUGGGACUGAGACACGGCCCAGACUCCUACGGGAGGCAGCAGUGGGGAAUAUUGCACAAUGGGCGGAAGCCUGAUGCAGCGAUGCCGCGUGGAGGAAGAAGGUUUUCGGAUUGUAAACUUCUUUUAUCAGGGACGAAUAUUGACGGUACCUGAUGAAUAAGCUCCGGCUAACUACGUGCCAGCCGCCGC
rnacentral:rRNA from 1 species